rnacentral:rRNA from 1 species
UACAGAGGGUGCGAGCGUUGUUCGGAAUUAUUGGGCGUAAAGGGCGCGUAGGCGGUGCCACAAGUCACUUGUGAAAUCCCCGGGCUUAACUCGGGGCUGCAGGCGAAACUGUGGUGCUGGAGUAUGGGGAGAGGUGCGUGGAAUUCCCGGUGUAGCGGUGAAAUGCGCAGAUAUCGGGAAGAACACCCGUGGCGAAGGCGGCUCUCUGGGACGGUACUGACGCUGAGACGCGAAAGCGUGGGGAGCGAACAGG